GCCCCCAUCGUCUAGCGGUUAAGGACAUCUCUCUUUCAAGGAGGCAGCGGGGAUUCGAUUUCCCCUGGGGGUA
rnacentral:tRNA from 1 species